CGGCGCGCCUAACACAUGCAAGUCGAACGAGCGAGAGAGAGCUUGCUUUCUCGAGCGAGUGGCGAACGGGUGAGUAACGCGUGAGGAACCUGCCUCAAAGAGGGGGACAACAGUUGGAAACGACUGCUAAUACCGCAUAAGCCCACGGGUCGGCAUCGACCAGAGGGAAAAGGAGCAAUCCGCUUUGAGAUGGCCUCGCGUCCGAUUAGCUAGUUGGUGAGGUAACGGCCCACCAAGGCGACGAUCGGUAGCCGGACUGAGAGGUUGAACGGCCACAUUGGGACUGAGACACGGCCCAGACUCCUACGGGAGGCAGCAGUGGGGAAUAUUGCACAAUGGGGGAAACCCUGAUGCAGCGACGCCGCGUGGAGGAAGAAGGUCUUCGGAUUGUAAACUCCUGUUGUUGGGGAAGAUAAUGACGGUACCCAACAAGGAAGUGACGGCUAACUACGUGCCAGCAGCCGCGGUAAAACGUAGGUCACAAGCGUCGUCCGGAAUUACUGGGUGUAAAGGGAGCGCAGGCGGGAAGACAAGUUGGAAGUGAAAUCUAUGGGCUCAACCCAUAAACUGCUUUCAAAACUGUUUUUCUUGAGUAGGCCGAGGGAGGGCGGAAUUUCCCGGGUAGCCGGGGGAAUGGGUUGAUAUCGGGGAGGAACCCCCGUGGCGAAGGCGGCCUUCUGGGCCACCAACUGACGCUGAGGCUCGAAAGUGUGGGUAGCAAACAGGAUUAGAUACCCUGGUAGUCCACACCGUAAACGAUGAUUACUAGGUGUUGGAGGAUUGACCCCUUCAGUGCCGCAGUUAACACAAUAAGUAAUCCACCUGGGGAGUACGACCGCAAGGUUGAAACUCAAAGGAAUUGACGGGGGCCCGCACAAGCAGUGGAGUAUGUGGUUUAAUUCGACGCAACGCGAAGAACCUUACCAAGUCUUGACAUCCCUUGACAGACAUAGAAAUAUGUAAUCUCUUCGGAGCAAGGAGACAGGUGGUGCAUGGUUGUCGUCAGCUCGUGUCGUGAGAUGUUGGGUUAAGUCCCGCAACGAGCGCAACCCUUAUGGUCAGUUACUACGCAAGAGGACUCUGGCCAGACUGCCGUUGACAAAACGGAGGAAGGUGGGGAUGACGUCAAAUCAUCAUGCCCUUUAUGACUUGGGCUACAUACGUACUACAAUGGCGUUAAACAAAGAGAAGCAAGACCGCGAGGUGGAGCAAAACUCAGAAACAACGUCCCAGUUCGGACUGCAGGCUGCAACUCGCCUGCACGAAGUCGGAAUUGCUAGUAAUCGUGGAUCAGCAUGCCACGGUGAAUACGUUCCCGGGCCUUGCACAAAGCGCCCGUCA
rnacentral:rRNA from 1 species